CAUGUACUCCCUCUGUCCGGAAAUACUUUUCAUCAAAAUAAAUAAAAAAUGAUAUAUCUAGAUAUAGUAUAUUAGUUCUAGAUACAUCUUUUUUGUCCAUUUUGAUGACAAGUAUUUUCAGACGGAGGGAGUAGCAC
rfam:Triticum aestivum genome assembly, contig: Triticum_aestivum_CS42_TGACv1_scaffold_030551_1BL